rnacentral:rRNA from 1 species
GACGAACGCUGGCGGCGUGCUUAACACAUGCAAGUCGAACGGAAAGGCCCUGCUUUUGUGGGGUGCUCGAGUGGCGAACGGGUGAGUAACACGUGAGUAACCUGCCCUUGACUUUGGGAUAACUUCAGGAAACUGGGGCUAAUACCGGAUAGGAGCUCCUGCUGCAUGGUGGGGGUUGGAAAGUUUCGGCGGUUGGGGAUGGACUCGCGGCUUAUCAGCUUGUUGGUGGGGUAGUGGCUUACCAAGGCUUUGACGGGUAGCCGGCCUGAGAGGGUGACCGGCCACAUUGGGACUGAGAUACGGCCCAGACUCCUACGGGAGGCAGCAGUGGGGAAUAAUGCACAAUGGGCGGAAGCCGGAUGCAGCAACGCCGCGUGCGGGAUGACGGCCUUCGGGGUGUAAACCGCUUUCGCCUGUGACGAAGCGUGAGUGACGGUAAUGGGUAAAGAAGCACCGGCUAACUACGUG